CCGGGGGCGGUACCCGGCGGCUCCACCAUAUGCCCGUCGUUGGAGGGGUGAGGGGCCGAAACAGGAUCGACGAACGUCUAAAGGGGUAUGCUUUGUCCCGGUGAGGUACCACCGUUAUCGGUCCGUAAAGCAUAAUUGCCAACGACAAUCGUGCUCCGGUGGCUCUGGCCGCGUAAGCGGUCGGUAAUACCGAAACUUAAGCCCUUGCGCCUAGCAGCGUAAGGCGGGGUCCGCAGGCACCUGGCAACAGAAGCCUGCACU
rnacentral:tmRNA from 1 species